rnacentral:lncRNA from 1 species
AGAAGGCCAAUAUCCAAGAAACAACUGAACUAAAUAUUUUUUUUUGUUUUCUAAUUUAUUGAAAUGGAGAAAUAAAAGUCGAACCAAAAGACUCGAACUAUUUUCGAUUGUAUUACUUUUUUCGUAUUUUCUGACUUGAGACAAAAUGAGCUUAAAACAAAAACCAGAAGAAGAAAAAUAAAAAAAACAAGCCCUAAUUUC